CCUACGGAGGGCAGCAGUGGGGAAUAUUGGACAAUGGGCGAAAGCCUGAUCCAGCCAUGCCGCGUGUGUGAAGAAGGCCUUCGGGUUGUAAAGCACUUUCAGUGGGGAAGAAAGCCUUGGGGCUAAUACCCUCGAGGAAGGACAUCACCCACAGAAGAAGCACCGGCUAACUCCGUGCCAGCAGCCGCGGUAAUACGGAGGGUGCGAGCGUUAAUCGGAAUUACUGGGCGUAAAGCGCGCGUAGGCGGUCUGAUAAGCCGGUUGUGAAAGCCCCGGGCUCAACCUGGGAACGGCAUCCGGAACUGUCAGGCUAGAGUGCAGGAGAGGAAGGUAGAAUUCCCGGUGUAGCGGUGAAAUGCGUAGAGAUCGGGAGGAAUACCAGUGGCGAAGGCGGCCUUCUGGACUGACACUGACGCUGAGGUGCGAAAGCGUGGGUAGCAAACAGGAUUAGAUACCCCAGUAGUC
rnacentral:rRNA from 1 species